AUGAUGGAAUCUUAUCGCAAUUGCACCCUAGAGGUGAAUUUUAGAAUUCUACUUCGCAAUUUUUAUGUUGGGCUAAAUAUGUCGCAUAGACAACUCUUGGAUUGCAUUGCCAAGGGAAAUUUUAUUGAAAUUGAUCCUACUAUUGCGCAUGAAAUUAUAGAGGGAAUAGUGGGAACACUACCUCAAAAAGGGGGAUCACAUCCUACCCAAGAAGAAACACAAGCGUUUGGAAAGAUUUGCGAAGUAACAAAAAUAUUACAAAAGUCUCUUGAGCCUCUUAAAAGUGUUAGCGGAAAUCUUCACCGCAUGAAUAUGUUGAUUACUCUUUGCAAUAAGCGGUUGGAUUCUUUAGAUUAA
rnacentral:rRNA from 1 species